GAAACCAAGCAAAACAAACUUUGAUUAUCAAAAUAUUAUUCAAACGAUGGAUUUGUCAAAGUCCCAACUUGCAGCACUUCUCAUCUUAUGUUCUUUGCUAUUUGUUUCCCAAUCAAAAAUAUUGAAGAUAGAAGAAAAAGGCAACCCUGACGAAUGUAAAUUUAGAGGUGGGUGCAAUACUAACGAAGAGUGUAAAAUUCCAUGCGGACCGCCUGAUUUCCCACGGGGAACUAUUGGUUUAUGUGUGCGAGAUCCUUUUGCUCACUCUGCCGUACAUCUUUGUUGUUGUGCGCCUAAAAAUUCAUCAUAAUGAAUGUUGGUCAAAUAUCUAUAUUAUUUAUGAAUUUAAUGAGAUAAUAAGAAUAUUUUUGUUUUUAC